rnacentral:rRNA from 1 species
UACAGAGGGUGCGAGCGUUAAUCGGAGUUACUGGGCGUAAAGGGCGCGUAGGCGGUUAUGUGAGUGUGAUGUGAAAGCCCUGGGCUUAACCUAGGAAGUGCAUCGCAAACGACAUAACUGGAGUAUAAGAGAGGGUGGCGGAAUUUCCGGUGUAGCGGUGAAAUGCGUAGAGAUCGGAAGGAACGUCAAUGGCGAAGGCAGCCACCUGGCUUAAUACUGACGCUGAGGCGCGAAAGCGUGGGGAGCGAACAGG